GAUGAACGCUAGCGAUAGGCUUAACACAUGCAAGUCGAGGGGCAGCAUGGUCUUAGCUUGCUAAGACUGAUGGCGACCGGCGCACGGGUGCGUAACGCGUAUGCAACUUGCCUCACAGAGGGGGAUAACCCGUCGAAAGACGGACUAAUACCGCGUACACUUGGGAUAGGGCAUCCUGACCCAAGGAAAUGAAAUUCGCUGUGAGAUAGGCAUGCGUCCCAUUAGCUAGUUGGUGAGGUAACGGCUCACCAAGGCGACGAUGUGUAGGGGAACUGAGAGGUUGAACCCCCACACUGGUACUGAGACACGGACCAGACUCCUACGGGAGGCAGCAGUGAGGAAUAUUGGUCAAUGGGCGAGAGCCUGAACCAGCCAAGUCGCGUGAAGGAUGACUGUCUUAUGGAUUGUAAACUUCUUUUAUACGGGAAUAACAAGAGUCACGUGUGGCUCCCUGCAUGUACCGUAUGAAUAAGCAUCGGCUAACUCCGUG
rnacentral:rRNA from 1 species